CCUACGGGAGGCAGCAGUGGGGGAUAUUGCACAAUGGGGGGAACCCUGAUGCAGCGACGCCGCGUGGGUGAAGAAGCGCCUCGGCGCGUAAAGCCCUGUCAGCAGGGAAGAAAAUGACGGUACCUGAAGAAGAAGCCCCGGCUAACUACGUGCCAGCAGCCGCGGUAAUACGUAGGGGGCAAGCGUUAUCCGGAUUUACUGGGUGUAAAGGGGGCGCAGACGGCGAUGCAAGCCAGGAGUGAAAGCCUGGGGCCCAACCCCGGGACUGCCCUUGGAACUGCGUGGCUGGAGUGCAGGAGGGGCAGGCGGAAUUCCUGGUGUAGCGGUGAAAUGCGUAGAUAUCAGGAGGAACACCGGUGGCGAAGGCGGCCUGCUGGACUGCAACUGACGUUGAGGCCCGAAAGCGUGGGGAGCAAACAGGAUUAGAUACCCCAGUAGUC
rnacentral:rRNA from 1 species